rnacentral:tRNA from 1 species
AUAGAGUAUGACAUUGAAGAUGUUAGGGAAAUAGUAAUAUUUUUAAGUAAU